CGGGGUGAGUAAUACUUGGGCAAUCUGCCCUUUAGAGGAAAACAACCUGCCGAAAGGCGGGCUAAUGUUCCAUAAGACCACAGAGUGACAUCAUUCAGGGGUUAAAGCUUCGCAAGGGGCGCUAGAGGUGGAGCCCGAGUCCUAUCAGCUAGUUGGUGAGGUAACGGCUCACCAAGGCUUUGACGGGUAGCCGGCCUGAAAGGGUGACCGGCCACACUGGCACUGAGACACGGGCCAG
rnacentral:rRNA from 1 species